GUGAACUUACCGCUGUUGUUGCCUCGGCAGGUUGUGUUAUACCGUGUCAUUAGGCGCGGGAUAGCCCUGCUUGCCGGUGGCUUAUUAAAUUCUGUUUAUUAUGUUAUUCUGAACCUAAAUAAAAAAUUAUUAAAACUUUCAACAACGGAUCUCUUGGUUCUGGCAUCGAUGAAGAACGCAGCGAAAUGCGAUAAGUAAUGUGAAUUGCAGAAUUCAGUGAAUCAUCGAAUCUUUGAACGCACAUUGCGCCCAUUAGUAUUCUAGUGGGCAUGCCUGUUCGAGCGUCAUUUCAACCCUUAAGCCUCUGCUGCUUAGCGUUGGGGGCCUACAGCUUUAGCUAUAGCUCCCUAAAUUGAGUGGCGGAGUCGGUUCACGCUCUAGAUGUAGUAAUUAUUUUUAAUCUCGCCUAAAGCUGCCCCGAUCUCCUGCCGUAAAACCCCCUAAUUUUUAAAGGUUGACCUCGGAUCAGGUAGGAAUACCCGCUGAACUUAAGCAUAUCA
rnacentral:rRNA from 1 species